CCCUCCCAGGGCCCCUGAUGGACCCUGCGGCUGGUGCCAGUGGAGUCACCUUCCAGCCUGGCAGGGCGCUUCAGCUCCUUGCUCUGUUGACUCUCAAGUAAAGCCUUUCUUGUGUUUACUGAGCAAAGAUUCUUUUAAGACAGGCUAAGCACACGGUUUACUCUGCUAACAAGCCUUGGCAUUUAUUGUGAGGACCUGUGUUGACUUAUUCUCGAAUCUCCAUUGACAUUCACUGAGAAACGUUAACGCAAACACAAGGAGACAUCCUGGGAGCUCUGAGGCCCGACGUUGUGCUGGGGAAGGCGCUCCAGAAAGGGCCAUCCUUUCUGUUUUGGUUAGAAUCACCUUGAGAGUUAAAAAUAACAAUAAUAUAGGCACCAUAAGAGAUUCUAAUGAUCUCCUUUUAGUUUUUUGGUUCAGUAUCUGAACACUUUUGCUAAAGGUCUCUGGAAAGCUUCCUGUAUUAAUUCUGGAUGAGACUAUGUCUGUGCCAGCCACUUCCUGAGCCUUCUUCCAUGUGCAUAGGCCUGCUGCGUGCUGGAGACCCACGGCACAGCCGCCAAGUGCCCCUGUGUAGCUCUGUGAUCUUGGGACAGUCACUUCCUCCCUCUGGUUGUCAGUCUUCUCAUCCCCAAGGUGAGGAGACGCUGUCUCCACGCUCAUCUCCCCAGCCAGACCCGGGCCUCAGGCCUGAGCCCAGGGCCUAAGAGCCCUAAGAAAUGUUUGCUGAAUAAAUGAAUGAAUAAGCCGCAUUAGCCAGUCUCUCUAGGCUUGCUCUGACAUCUUGCGCCUGAAUCCUCCCCCAUUGCAGGCUCUGCUUUGAGUCAUAGUCUGACAAGAUCUGCUAAUGGGGUCACUGCAGACAACCACAGAACCUCAGCAUCUGACUCAUACGCGGUGGCUGCCAAGUGGUUUCACCUGCCUCUGCCUCUCUCCUCCCUGCCUCUCAUCCAAGCUGAUGCUUGUAAAGGAAACAGCUUUCAGGAAACAGAGGCUCAGGGAAGUGAAGUCACUCAACCAAGUGUCACACCACCGACAUGGGCACAAAACCACCCACCUCCCAGGCUGACAUGAGGAUUAAUUAAGGUCAUGCACAUAAAAGUACUAAACAUCUGUGAAUUCUCUCUCCUCCCCCACUUUUAUUAAAAGUCCUUGAACUAUAGGUUUUUGGCUAAAGUCAGCCUGGUAGCCCUUUGCUGCCUUUGCUCGGAACACUCACCUUUGCCUCAAGUUCUGCGUCAGGUGUCAUUUUCAUCCCAGCAUCUUCAUUUUAGUCACAACAGCCUUUUAUUUAGCACCUACUGUGUGCCAGGCACUGGACACUCAUCCUCUCUUCUUCACACCAGCUCUGCAAACUAAACUUUAUGACUCCCAUUUUGUUGCUGAAGAGAAUGAAGCUCCACAGGUAGUAAGCAGUGCAGCUGGAGUGAGGAGCAAAGCUCUUGCUCUAUUUUCUAAGCCACUUGCCUCCUCUCCUGUGUUCCUCUCCACUGCCUACUCCAAGCCCAGAGUGCUACAUGGCUUGACUUUUACACAAUGGAAUAUUUAUUUAUUGAACUCUUACUCUGUGUGGGGCAGGGUCCUUCCCAGCACAGGACCGAGGGAGAGGACAGCCUCACUGUUGCCUUCAGGUUGCUCAGAGAGUAGCAGGGAGAUAGAUGAGUAGUAAGGAGUUUUGGAGGAAUGGGGCAAGUGCGGAUUAGCAGGAGGGAUGCAGUGCUAUGGGGCACCUGUUUCUGUCUGGGAGGCAGGGAGUCUAGAAUGUGAGCCAUCCAAAUGGGAUUUAUCAAUAUCCUCUCAGUGCUUUGUGUGCAUUUGUGUGUGCAUGCAAGUGUAAAGUGAUGGUGAUAAAGAUUAAUGAGACAUCGUUGCUACCUCAACUUAUGGUUAUGGUUGUGCAGUGCCCCCAGCCAUCUCCCUCCAUCUCGAAUGUCAAUUUUCACAUCUUUAAAAUGGAAGUUUUGACACAAGCAUAGGUCUACAGACUGGAACUUGUUGAUGGCAAUUUGGCAUUUUUUAAAAUCCAUAGGCAAAAAAUGUUUAUGAUGGAAGUGCUUACUUCUGACACAUUAAUUUGAGAAACCGACUUAAAAAUAUGCAUAUGGUUUCAACUUUUUACUAUGGAAUUUUAAAUAUAUAGAUAAAAUAGAAUAAGAUCAUGAAGCCCUAUGUACCCAGAACCUGGCUUCCUUAGUUAUCCACAUUAUGCCAUUCUUGAAGAAGUGGAAUCUUGAUUAGUUAAAUAAAUGGAUAUUUUGCAAAACAUUGAAUGUAAUUCGUGUAAUGCCUAUUGUUGUUUUUCUCUGAUUAAAGAACUAGAAAAGAUUUAAAACUAUUUACGAUGUUUGUUGUAGAAGCUAAUAUAGACAUGCAUCUGUUAUCUGUCUACAGUAACUUUAAAGGUGCAUGGUGGAGAAUUCAGAUUCUUUGGCUAGAGGGAAUCUGGCUAGGGAAACACCCCACUAGUCUGUCUCUUGAAGACCUAACAUUCUGUGGUUCUCUUAUCUGUAGAGAGAAAAAGCCCAUUUAUAACUUUUCUAGUCUGGUUUUAAAUGUAGUGGCAAAGAUUCAGGAAUGUGUUUGCUUGGAACUCGUAACCCUUGGAGAUUCACUUAGAAAACAAGGACUCGUUGUCUCCUGUUCUGACUCCCAGGACACAUUUUAAUGAAAUGCCCUCAAACCCAAAUUGGCUUCAGUCUAACUCACAGCAACCGCAGUACGCUGGGGAAAAAGCAGAAACCGGGCGGGGGGGGGGGGGGGGGCGC